UGUGGAGUGAUAUUAGGCCAACAGAGAGGACAGGACACUAUACUGCUGUGUGGAGUGAUAUUAGUGCCAACAGAGAGGACAGGACACUAUAAACUCUGGCUGUGUGGAGUGAUAUUAGUGCCAACAGAGAGGACAGGACACUAUACUGCUGUGUGGAGUGAUAUUAGUGCCAACAGAGAGGAAAUCAGGAAUUGCUGCACUUAUUAUUGUUAAAGCAUCUCAACAAUGAUGAUGACUAGGACCAGGAGUUUUUCCUGACCUCACAACCGACCUGAGCAAGAAAAACUCUGGACCCUAUAAUUACCUGACCGUGUGGUAUAACUAGGAUAAACUCUUGACCCUAUAAUUACCUGACCGUGUGGUAUAACUAGGAUAAACUCUGGACCCUAUAAUUACCUGACCGUGUGGUAUAACUAGGAUAAACUCUGGGUCCUAGUUAUAUAGCCUUGGUCAGAUCAUGUGGUAUGGAUCAGGAAAAACUCCUGGUCCUCUUUGAGGAUUAAUAUGAGACUUUACAGGGACCUUAAUAAGGUUGUGGUGAAACUGUCUGAAUCGAAUGACCUGACAUUGAAUACCUACCUUAAAAUUACUGACUGACUGAAAUUCAAAGUUGAGAGAAGGCAUUGCAUGUGUAAAUGUUUGAUGUGCCCCUACUUCAUCUAACUGUCUAUUCUAAAUCAUUAAACUACUCUUGUCCA
rnacentral:lncRNA from 1 species